rnacentral:rRNA from 1 species
GGCGAACGCUGGCGGCGUGCUUAACACAUGCAAGUCGAACGGAAAGGCCCUGCUUUUGUGGGGUGCUCGAGUGGCGAACGGGUGAGUAACACGUGUGUAACCUGCCCUUGACUUUGGGAUAACUUCAGGAAACUGGGGCUAAUACCGGAUAGGAGCUCCUGCUGCAUGGUGGGGGUUGGAAAGUUUCGGCGGUUGGGGAUGGACUCGCGGCUUAUCAGCUUGUUGGUGGGGUAGUGGCUUACCAAGGCUUUGACAGGUAGCCGGCCUGAGAGGGUGACCGGCCACAUUGGGACUGAGAUACGGCCCAGACUCCUACGGGAGGCAGCAGUGGGGAAUAUUGCACAAUGGGCGGAAGCCUGAUGCAGCAACGCCGCGUGCGGGAUGACGGCCUUCGGGUUGUAAACCGCUUUCGCCUGUGACGAAGCGUGAGUGACGGUAAUGGGUAAAGAAGCACCGGCUAACUACGUG